rnacentral:rRNA from 1 species
UACGUAGGGUGCGAGCGUUAUCCGGGGUUACUGGGCGUAAAGCGCUUGUAGGCGGCUUCGUAAGUUGGGCGUGAAAGCUCCGGGCUUAACCCGGAGAGGCCGUCCAAUACUGCGGAGCUCGAGGGUGCCAGAGGAAGGUGGAAUUCCUGGUGUAGCGGUGAAAUGCGUAGAUAUCAGGAGGAACACCCGUGGCGAAGGCGGCUUUCUGGGGCAUUCCUGACGCUGAGAAGCGAAAGCUAGGGGAGCAAAUAGG